GCCAACAGACUGCUCACAGAUCCUGAUCAAGCAUAACAAAUUUUUGGCUGUUGGAACUGCAAAGCAGAGAUUUGUGUAUUUCCCUGUAAAGCACUGCUGUUUGAUGCUAAAAUGAAUGCUGGAAUUCCUGGAGGCUGAUUCCUGGGAACUCAUCCUGCAAAGAAAAAGAAUGGUUACAAACGAUAUAUUUUGUUUGGGUCUUUUAUAUUUUGAAUAUGUGUUUUCAAAUAAGAUGGGGG